rnacentral:misc_RNA from 1 species
GGACAAUACCAGCAGAUUCGUGACCAAGAACCAUCGGAUUCUCCACGACAAAGUCACCGAUGCGACCCGCAACGAGGUAGUGCACAUCGGAACCGCAAAUGCCGGUCUUCUUCACAGUAAUGAGGACCUCAUCGUCCUUAAUGUCAGGGAUGAGCCUGUCUUCGAAGAUGACAUCCUCGAUCUUCCUGAGUACGAAAGACGGGUUGUUAGACAUGG